CCCAAACAUAAUACACUUGGGCUUUCCCCUUAUCUUUCUGAGCCUUCCCUCCAGGAAGCCUGUCCUGGCUCCUCUACCUCUCUUUCAACUCAGAAAAAGUUGAGAUUUCCAAGGCAGAGUUCCUGAACUCUCACCCUUCUGAAAUUAAUCCUAGGUGGCCUAACUUGUAUCUGUGUAUCCCAGCAGUGUCCCUGUGCUAGGGACUCCAGUCCUGUCAUCUGAGUCUGCAUAUCUUCCAGCUCUAGACAUCAACAUUCGACUGUAUAAACCAUCUUAAACUUACUUAUGACAGACAUGUGAACAUUCCUCUCCAACAUGUUCUUUAAGAGAUCUCUUCUCAGGACGUGAAACCACCAGGGAGAUCUUGAAGCCCCAGAGAAGGAUGCAGCUGAGUAGCCUGUGGUCUAGCAGAUGGAGGAGUGGUGGUACUGAGCAGUGAGGAAUGGUUGCUCCCCAGAUGGUGGCACUGCUGUGGGAGGUUAUGGGACCUUCAGGAGGCGGAGCCUUGCUGGAGAAAGUGAGCCACCAGCACAUUCUACAAUCUCAGUGCUAGACAGGCAUGAGGAUUCCUGGGUCUGACUAGCCGGCCAGCGUAGUGGAUACUUCCCACUCCGAUACAGCGAAAGACUAUUUCUCAAACAAUGAGCCCCAGAGUCUGCUUGAGUCUGUGCUCCUCACGUCUCCUUGGCAAGGAGGGCCUACGGGAGAAACAUCCGGUUACAACACUCCAGACACAACUUUGUGUCCUCUGCUGUCCGCGGAUCAGAGACAACUUGUCCACAGCCACUCCCUGUAGCUUACUCAUCAACCACACGGUGCGGGACCUCUCUGUGCUCUCUGAAAGGCGUAGAAUGGAGCUCGCUCUGCUUUGCAGGUCUGAGCUCUCCUUAAAGCCCCCGGUACAUUGUCUGUUCGCUGUAUUAAGAAACCCCCUGCUACAUUUCUUACUCAAAAGCAUGCUCCGCCUCAGUGUCCCUCCUGACAAACCUUGACAUGCCUCUCUCGUCUCUUCCUUUUCUGAUGGAAGUAAUGUGGUCCCCAAGUUCCAAGCCGCCCCUUUCCAGUGUCCUCCCUACAAGAUCCAGACCUUACAUUUUCUCUGACAGAACUGUGCUCCUAUCCAAUCUACUGUGGUCUAAAAUAAGAACUGUGCCACACAGGCUCAUGGAUCUGCAUGCUUGGACCCCAGCCAGUGGCACUGUUUGGGAUGGUUUGAGGAGGCGGGGCCCACCUAGAAGGAGGGAGUCACUGGGGCUAGGUUCUAUAGCUUAUGAAUAACCUCUCUGACCUUUAAAUGGACUCUCCAAAAACAGGGGGCUAAAACAACCUCAUACAGAUUUGGAAGAGCACACUGGGAAGAUGGGAGGAGAGAGGCACCAUGGGUAUUACAGUCCACUCGUGAUGGGCUGGCUAUUAAAUCCACCCAUUCUACAAACAAAAUGAUUUCCUCAGCAAAUUUAAGGCCUAAUGGGGAACACAGAGUUUUCCUUUUUCAGAGGAGAAACAAAUGAACUAAUUCCCUUGGAGGGUUUUGUCUUGUCUUGGUUUCGUUCUGCUCUGAGCUGCUCUGGCUUGGGAAGCUCUUUAAGUUAAUCCUUGGAAAGACAUCCUUCUGAACCAGAGAUAGCCUCCCACCUUCCAAGGCACCCUUCCAGAGGGGAAAUUGCAUUGUGUUUGCUAUACCCUCGUCACUGCUAACUGUUAUCUGCAUCCAAAGAGGAACACAAGGCAGUUCAUAUUCCAGACGCCGGAUGUGUCACUUAUGUUUCUAAGGGCCCAGGGAUGUUUCCUUAUUGUUCAUGUGACUCUGCCUAUAUUUCAUAAACUGCUGGUGCGUAAAAUUACUACCAUUUAAACAAGUGAUACUUCUUUCUUCAUCUUCCCCGG
ensembl:lncRNA